UUUUGAAUCAAUUUCAAGAUCCGAUUUGUCCACAUUGUAGAACUUGCCAAUUAAAAUGAUUUGGUAAGAUAUCAAGUCAAUCGGAUUAUUCUUGGUAUUUAAUCGGAGAAGAUAUAUGUCGAAAAAAUUUGACAAAAAGUGAGCCGGAGCACUUGAUAACAACUUGAAAAGAUUUUUUUUCCUCCUUCAGUCCGUUACAACACCGUCGCCGAUCCAAGUCGACCUUCACCGUCCCGUUCCUGAGUCAGCCGGCAGAGGUGUGUUCGCGACUCAAUUGAUCGGAGCUGGUGAACUCCACACCCAUCGUCUCUUUCUCUCUCUACAAUAACGGGUGUUUGCUAUUUGUGGCUCAGAAUUCUCAGAAGCAUAACCACAUCUGCAGCCAGCCAAGAAUAGUUUAAUAAUCUGGAUGUGGCUACGCGAUUCUCAGAGCAAGUCAACAACAAAAUGACUACUCUUACUAUUUCUGAUGAGGUCCACAUGGACAAAAUGGAACAAGACAAUGAUAACCUGGAGGAAUAUGCCCUGGAUAGUGUUUCCAAACUGCAUAAAACGCAUCAUUAUAUAUCAGUAUGAUGCGGGAAGUUGAGAAGAUGUCUACGAUUUUAUCAAAUCAAGGAGUUCUGAUUGAAUAAGGUCCAGACACGAAGCUGAUAGCAGAUUGUUUUGCAUUACGUGAGGCAAUAGGGAUAGACACUUAUAGACUCCGUAAGUUUAUCAUUGGCAAGUAUCCAAACGUCCACAUGGAAGUUCUUGGCCCAGCUCCUUAUGCUCAAGCAGUUAAAAAGAUUGGGAACAAAAUGGAUCUUGCUCGAGCAGUUGAGAUUGUUGACCUGAAGGACGUGUUAACUCCGGCUGAUAUUGGCUGUGUCUCAUGGAAAGGGAUAGGCAAGCCACUUCCGGAAGAAAUUCUGCAAAAGAUAUUUGACGCAUGUGACCGACUUCUUGCUUUACAUUUGGACUAUGAAAAAGUUCAUGCUUUUGUGGGCAGUAUAACAGAGUAUUUUGUGCCUAAUCUUUGUGUUGUUUUUGGAAGUGAAGUUGCUUCUAAGCUAAUGGUGGGGACUGCUGGGGUCUCUCGGCAUUAGCUAAUAUCCCAGCUGAUGAUUUUAGCCCCGUGGGUGCCAAGAAAAUUAUGGAUUUGCAACGGUUUGUAGCUGAAAUGUCCCAAUUUCGUUAUCUUCUGCAAUCAAAUCUUUUAAGUGACAUUCAUGGUUGUUUCAAGUUCCUUGCCUUCUGAUAUGUGGCUAGAAAUUCUACAGUGGCAUCACGGGUAGACUGGACGAGAGGAGAUCUAACAGGUAAGACUGGGAGAUGUAUUCGAGAUGAGAUAAUUAGGGUGGGUGAACAGUGGCGAAAGAAGUCCUACUUGGCUGCAAAGCAGGGAUCUGAACUUGAUCCACUUCCUAUUUUCAAGCCAAAGGAAGGAAAGAUAGAUGAGAUUGGUGAGGCAAAGCUCUAUGGAGUGAAGAAUGCUGCUAGUUUUUUGGAGGAGAUUGCUAUGGGGUAGUGGAGGAAAAUACAGGUGAAGAAGCCGCGGAAGAUGAAGGCACUUGUGAUUAAUAUGGUGGAGUGGGACGAGAGGAGGGCCAAGCUGGAGGCCUGGAGGCCAUUAAGAAACGGAGAGCCGUUUUCGAAGUGAACUAGUUUGGUUUGCUUGCUAUCAAGAAGUGAAAUUGGUCAGUGGUUAUCGUGCCAAAUGGUUUCAAUCAGAUAGAUUGUACUUGUCAAUGUUUGGAAAUUUCAAUUCGGGCAACUGUCAUACUGCAAUUGAACAUGACAACUUUUCUACUACUUUUUUCUUCUGUUUUUCCGUUAUGGUGCUGUGGACUCUCACAUAGUUGUACUGCAGAACGUUAGCAGUAUGUACAUAGAAUCUUGAAUGUGAUAUCAAAUAACUUAAUUUAUUUUUUAAUGUCU